rnacentral:rRNA from 1 species
AGAGUUUGAUCCUGGCUCAGAACGAACGCUGGCGGCGUGGCUAAGACAUGCAAGUCGAACGGGCUAUCCAAUUGAGUAAUCGAGAGGAUAGUUAGUGGCGAAAGGGUGAGUAACGGAUAGGUAACGUACCCUGUGCUUCGGAAUAGCGUCGUUCGCCUUCGGGCGAACUACCGAAAGGGGCGGUAAUACCGAAUAAUAUCACUUGUCGACGGACAAAUGAUCAAAGAUUUAUCGGCGCGGGAGCGGCCUAUCUCUUAUCAGCUUGUUGGUGAGGUAAAAGCUCACCAAGGCUAUGACGGGUAGCGGGACUGAGAGGUUGACCCGCCACAUCGGGACUGAGACACUGCCCGGACCUCCACGGAGGGCUGCAGUAACGAAUCUUGCGCAAUGGGCGAAAGCCUGACGCAGCGACGCCGCGUGUGGGAUGAAGUCUUUCGGGAUGUAAACCACUGUCAGGGGUAAGAAAGUCCACCUCGGUGGAUUGAUCUAACCCAAAGGAAGUCACGGCUAACUUCGUGCCAGCAGCCGCGGUAAGACGAAGGUGGCAAGCGUUGUUCGGUAUUACUGGGCUUAAA